rnacentral:rRNA from 1 species
UGCUCUUGUACAUCCUCUCUCGACGGCCCGGUAAUGCGGCUUUUCCUUCGGGACAGAAGAGACAGGUGGUGCAUGGUUGUCGUCAGCUCGUGUCGUGAGAUGUUGGGUUAAUUCCCGCAACGAGCGCAACCCCUGCCUGCAGUAGCCGGCGAUUAAAGCCGGGCACUCUGUAGGGACUGCCGGGGAUAACCCGGAGGAAGGGGGGGACGACCUCAAAUCAUCGUGCCCCUUAUGGGGGGGGCUACACACGUGCUACAAUGGCGCCAACAUAGGGAGGCAAACCUGGAAGGGGAACCAAACCCCAAAAAAGGCGUCCCAGUUCGGAUUACAGCCUGCAACCCGGCUGUAUGAAGCUGGAAUCGCUAGUAAUCGCAGAUCCAAUGCUGCGGUGAAUACCUUCCCGGGUCUGAACCCCCCCGAAG